rnacentral:lncRNA from 1 species
AUGCAGAGGUAUUUGAAGAACCUCUGGUGGGCGGACCAGAACUGCCCCCACAUGGACUUCUUCAUCCGCUGCUCCGCAUCCAUGAGGCUGGCGGCCUGCUGGAACCUCUCCCGCGCGUGCACCCACUGCACCAAAGACACGGCUGUGAGUCGCCUCCGGACAGGAAGCUUUCAAACGGAGGGGGGGGGGGGCUCUCACCAGCCGCACGGACUUGUUGUACAUGUCGAUGUAGCGCUGACUCAGAGGAACCUCCUCGAUCUUGAAGGUCACGCCGGUGAAACUCAGCUGCCUGGCGAUGUACAUUCCUCUGAGCUUCAUGUCCAUCGCUACGAUCUCCAUGGCGCCGACGCCUCUGUAGUGGAAGGGGGUGGGGGGUUUAAAACCAGGAGGGGAGGCGUCUGGGAGCACAGAGGGAUGAAAACGGGAGCUCACCUGCGCUCCACGGCCUGGAUGAAGUUGCUGAACUCCCUGAAGGGCGUCUUGUGGCCCCAUAUGCCCAGCCGGUUCAUGUACGCCAUGUUCCUCGGCUCGGAGGCGCCUGAACAGAAGAAGGACUUUUUACAAACCCGUUUGGAGAGGGAAGUGUCUGGGACAAACCCCACUGACCCGUUGCACUGGCGUACACGACCCGAGCUUUGGGGAGCUUGUUCUGCAGCUCCAGAACCGCCAGGCCGGUUUUGGUCGGCUUGGAGGACCCGAUGGGGCAGACGUUUUUGGCUUUGUGACAUUCGUCGUACACGAUCUGCGGGCGGCGGGUCAGGGAACGUACGGCUGACGGCGUCAGGGCGAGCAAACAUGCGGGUGAAAGGAUACGACUCCGUCGAAGUCCUCCCCACACCAGUGGAGGAGCUGCUGGAAGCGCGUCUUGUACUUCCCGCCCGACUGACUCUCUCCGAUCAGAGACGAGUACGUGGCGAAGAUCACGCCCUUCUUUACACUCCCGUUGUGUUUGGAGGAGAUUUUGCCGUAUUUGAACUGAAACGGCGUGGAAACACUUUGAGCAAAUAA